UACGUAGGGUCCGAGCGUUGUCCGGAAUUAUUGGGCGUAAAGGGCUCGUAGGCGGUUCGUCACGUCGGGAGUGAAAACUCGGAGCUUAACUCCGAGCCUGCUUCCGAUACGGGCAGACUAGAGGUAGGCAGGGGAGAGCGGAACUCCUGGUGUAGCGGUGGAAAUGCGCAGAUAUCAGGAAGAACACCGGUGGCGAAGGCGGACUCUCGGUCGGUCUACCUGACGCUGAGGUGCGAAAGCGUGGGGAGCAAACAGG
rnacentral:rRNA from 1 species